rnacentral:rRNA from 1 species
UUGGAGGGCAAGUCUGGUGCCAGCAGCCGCGGUAAUUCCAGCUCCAAUAGCGUAUAUUAAAGUUGUUGCAGUUAAAAAGCUCGUAGUUGAAUUUCGGGGUCAGCAGGUUGGUCGUGCCAAUGGUAUGCACUGGCCUUGCUGAUUCCUCCCUCUUGAUGAGCCGUAAUGCCAUUAAUUUGGUGUUGCGGGGAAUCAGGACUGUUACUUUGAAAAAAUUAGAGUGUUUAAAGCAGGCAAGCGCUUGAGUACAUUAGCAUGGAAUAAUGAAAUAGGACGUUUAAUCCUAUUUUGUUGGUUUCUAGGAUUGACGUAAUGAUUAAUAGGGAUAGUUGGGGGCAUUAGUAUUCAAUUGUCAGAGGUGAAAUUCUUGGAUUUAUUGAAGACUAACUACUGCGAAAGCAUUUGCCAAGGAUGUUUUCAUUAAUCAAGAACGAAAGUUAGGGGAUCGAAGACGAUCAGAUACCGUCGUAGUCUUGACCAUAAACUAUGCCGACUAGGGAUCGGAUGAUGUUAAUUUUUUAAUGACUCAUUCGGCGCCUUACGGGAAAC